rnacentral:rRNA from 1 species
AUGAACGCUGGCGGCGUGCUUAACACAUGCAAGUCGAACGAAGCAUUUAAGACAGAUUACUUCGGUUUGAAGUCUUUUAUGACUGAGUGGCGGACGGGUGAGUAACGCGUGGGUAACCUGCCUCAUACAGGGGGAUAGCAGCUGGAAACGGCUGGUAAUACCGCAUAAGCGCACAGUACCACAUGGUACAGUGUGAAAAACUCCGGUGGUAUGAGAUGGCCCCGCGUCUGAUUAGCUUGUUGGCGGGGUAACGGCCCACCAAGGCGACGAUCAGUAGCCGACCUGAGAGGGUGACCGGCCACAUUGGGACUGAGACACGGCCCAGACUCCUACGGGAGGCAGCAGUGGGGAAUAUUGCACAAUGGAGGAAACUCUGAUGCAGCGACGCCGCGUGAGUGAAGAAGUAGUUCGCUAUGUAAAGCUCUAUCAGCAGGGAAGAUAGUGACGGUACCUGACUAAGAAGCGCCGGCUAAAUACGUG